UACGUAGGGGGCAAGCGUUGUCCGGAAUUAUUGGGCGUAAAGAGCUCGUAGGCGGUUUGUCGCGUCUGCCGUGAAAGUCCGGGGCUCAACUCCGGAUCUGCGGUGGGUACGGGCAGACUAGAGUGAUGUAGGGGAGACUGGAAUUCCUGGUGUAGCGGUGAAAUGCGCAGAUAUCAGGAGGAACACCGAUGGCGAAGGCAGGUCUCUGGGCAAUUCCUGACGCUGAGGCGCGAAAGCGUGGGGAGCAAACGGG
rnacentral:rRNA from 1 species